GGCUCUGUGGCACAAUGGAUAGCGCAUUGGACUUCUAAUUGAAAGGUUGUGGGUUCAAAUCCCACCAGAGUCG
rnacentral:tRNA from 1 species